UACGUAGGUGGCGAGCGUUGUCCGGAUUUACUGGGCGUAAAGCGCGCGCAGGCGGGCUGGUCAGUCCGGGGUGAAAUCUCACGGCUCAACCGUGAGCGGUCCCCGGAUACUGCCAGUCUUGAGGUGUCUAGAGGAGAGCGGAAUUCCCGGUGUAGUGGUGGAAUGCGUAGAUAUCGGGAAGAACACCAGUGGCGAAAGCGGCUCUCUGGGGACCACCUGACGCUGAGGCGCGAAAGCGUGGGGAGCGAACAGG
rnacentral:rRNA from 1 species